GCGUGGUUUGGCUGGACCAGCACACCAGCGACUUUGGUGCUGAAUGGUUAAAGAAAAGGUGAUUUUCCCAGUCAGCCAGACAGAAGCAGCAUGAGGAGAUUUUCCUCAAUGGUGCAAGAAGAGUGAUGAUGAUAGUGAUUGUAAUUGCGAUGAUUUAUGAACUGUGAAGGGCGCUCAGUGCUGACGACUGUGGAGGGCACUCACGGCCCGAGUGAAAAAUAAAUUUGGCUACCUGCGUGAGGCCAGCUGGAAAAACAUGAACAGUUACGUGCACACCAGUGCCACAGAUAGGAAGUGACUAUGAGCCAACUCCCACCCCCCUCCCCGGGACGACGCACGCUGCAAGGUGGUGGCUGGGGAAGUUGGAGUCCUAAACAAAAAGAAGUGACAAGAAAGAAUAACACACAGAACUUUUAUGUGCUUGCUGGUGAUGUUUUGAUUAGGGGCGGAUUCUCCUUCCAGAAAAGCAACCAAGUUUACAAGGAAAUCUCAGUCACAGAGGAUUUGCAGAUUCAUUAAAAAAAAAAGCAUCGCAGCACACCUGGCAAGUGCUGGACAAUGCAAAUGCCAACAACGUGGCAUAUACCUCCUAGAAGCUGAGCCUUCACUCCGACUACCCUGCCCUGCACAAUCCACCUGGGAUAAGACAACCUGGCACUGCAGCCCAGCUGGCUAGCGAGCCUGGCACCCCUUUCCCUAAACAUACCAUCUUGGCACUUUCCUAAUCCUUAGUUCAGCAUGAGAAGUAUAAAUAUGCUUUUCUUGCAUAGCUUGCAAAGCUUUUAGAUGCGCUGGAUUCAGUCUUCCGAAGUUUAAAUUUCAAAUAUUGGGGCCCAGUCUCAAUACUGCUAUAGUUUUAAAAUAAUUUAAAAAAACAAAAAGUUUUAGAACAAUAAACAGGCCGCGUUGUGUUAAAAUGUUUUGUAUCACUCAGCUAUUUGUGGUGCUGUUUGUUGUCACUGUAUUGUUCUUGCAUUGUCUCUGUGUCGUGAUUACUGUAGGACUCAAUAUCGCUGUUUCUUUGGUGCAUGCAGGUCUAGUUUCUGCACUGUAUCAAGCAGGCAGCUGACAGGGGCGAGAGUGAGAUUGUGGACGGCUUCCACACAGCCAACCAGCUGAGGAAGGAGAACCCUGAAGCCUUUUGACUCCUCUCCUCCCUGAGAGUGGACUCGGGGCAGACUACUGUGACUUCCAAGUGCAGUCCAAGAACACGAUCAUUGAGUACACAUUUCAGUUUUUAUCCAUUGCUUAUGUUUCACGUUCGUGUUUUUGCAUUGAUAUAUAGUUUUGUUAAUUUUGUCCUGGUAUCUUUCUCCUAACUAGCUUCCAUGGGAUCAGUUAUCUAGUAGAGAUGACCCCUAAUUCACACUCCUUUCCAAGCGGUUUUGUCUUUGGUGGUUCAUCCAAAAACUGAAUUUUUCCAUUUGAUUUGAGGACAGUGAGUGCCAUCUAGUGUUGAAGCAGCAACACUGCACCAGACAUAAUUUUUGGAGUUAAUCUAAGCAUUUCUGCAUACUGUACACUGUCUUCUAUUUCUACCGAAUGACCCAAGAUACUGGGUAAUUGUGCAUUGUUUCUAUGAGUGGGUAAAUGAUUAGGAAUAAUUUGUGACUGUAUUAGUAGGAUUCUCACUCCUAGGGAUGAGGUAUGGUCUUGUCGUUUAUCACUACACGUGUCGCUGUGCUAACAUCAAACUGAGUAUAGAAGUGCUUCUCUGAUUCCUCAUGAAGUGUAGACUGCGAUGGUCAGGUGGUGAGGAUUAAGUACAUCAACGCAAUCCGGGACUCUACGCUAGGCUUGCCCCUUGAACAGGUCCAGCCCUUUUACUCGGCUCUCAGAGCCCAUGUGGAUCUCUUGAGCAGGCCAGAGAACGUGGUCAUGUGCAGAAUGGAGCCAGGUGGGUAGCUACCCACGGCAUGUGUAAUGUAUUAGGCUAUAGAGGUGACCAACCCUGGUCCUGGAGAGCCACAGUCCUGCAGGUUUUCAGGGUGUCUUUAAAUCAUCAAUGGCUAAUGGCCUGGACAAAAGUUAGUGUUGACCAACUAAGAAAAUAAUCGGUUCAAUUAAAUAGUUGUGAACUCAAGUGGAACAAACACCAGAAGACCCUGCGGCUUUUCAGGACCAGGAUUUGCCACCCCAGUAUUAGGUGGCUUAAAUCAAUUCCUUAUAUGUUUUGCGCCUAAAGACAAACUAACAAAGCCAUUUUUAAAACAUGCCUCAAGGCUAGCUAAAAAGACCCCUUUUAAAAUAUACAGUAUAUUGUAUUUCAACAGAAUCAAAAGGUCGCAAGUGAAAACAUUUGAACGUGACAGGAAAUGGCUUUCCGGCCUCUGUGUUUCUGGGUAUGCUUUGAUCCUGUAAUUUCUGAUUUGCCUUCAGGACUUCAGAAAAUGUCAGUCAAUCAUUAAAUCUUUCAUUUAACCAGGGAAAACCCUUGAAAACUCCUAUACAGGGGUUAGCCAUCCAGGCACACAAUUCAUCAAAAGAUUUAUCUUUGAACAGAAACAGAAAGUAACUAAUGCUCUGUAUCCGACAUCAUCUUAGUAACAUGAUCAACUGAGAUUAGAGAAACAGAUUCUAUUUCUCACAGCCUGAUUGAUCCCUGUUUUUGCCAACGGUCUGACCGCACUCCCCCAGUCUGCAGGUGACGUGGUGACGUUCGAUAACUGGCGCCUACUUCACGGACACAGGAGUUACACCUCUGUUCUCAGCCAUGCCCGGAACCUGGAGGGGCGUACCUCAACUGGGACGAGGUGAUGUCCAGACUGCGGGUCCUGAGGACAGCCUUAAACAGAGAGGCUUAAACCAGUCAGCACAGAGCAGGGCUUUAGGGUAUGCCAAGGAAGAUAACUGACCUCCCCAAUGUAUGACUGUUACUAUGGGUUUAAUAAGACACACCUGAGCUUGUUACCUGUAUAUCGUGGCUAAUCAAGAUCGUAGUAAAACCUGGAGUGAAACUACUAUGCAAAAAGAGUCUUUUCCACUGGUGAAGUACAAAGUACUGUAGGAUUGCUAAGCUACGAAUGUUUUAUAGCAUGGGGUUCCAAUAAAAGUAUAAAGCAUCAUGCACAGCUUAACGAGCACUUGUAGAUUGACUGGUGAUCAGCGUGGUUUGAGCCAUGUACUAAACAUGUUCAUGUAAAGAGAAGCCACAGAACACCAGGCACAUAGAGAAGCCUGCUUUUGUGAUCGCUCAAUAGAAAUGAAUAAAUAAUCACAGGGAAACAGUUAAUAAAUAAAUCAGGGGCAACAGACUCGAGUGCUCUUCAAGUCUGACACUGUUCUGGCUCCAGCAAUGUGGCUGUCAUAGCUUCUAGAAUAAUUAUAUACCACUUAUUGUGUGUUUCCUGCCUUGUGGCUCUGCAGCAAUGCAAGCCCUAUCCUGUAGAUGUGAUUCUUUUCUUCAUACAUAAACUAUUAUGGUAACCCUUUCAUUUUUGGUACUACUUCUGUAAUUGUGACUCUAAAAACAUAUAUUGAAGUUGUGGCGGACUGUGACUGCCAGGGUUUGGAUUAGUGAGAGCCUUGAUUGUAACACUCACACUUUAAGGAGAUGCCAUCUGUAUGUGAAAGCAGGGGUUUUGAAAAAAAAAAAAAUCUCAGUUGUAGUUGGCACUGCCUGAUUUCUUAACAUAGAAAUCAUCGUUUAGUGUUUGUACAGCUGUGUAACACUUACUUGCCUGUAAAAGGCCUUUUUGUUUGUGGACAGCUGAUCUUUUAAACCUUAAAUAAGGUUGUUAAUACCUUUUCACAAUAAGGCUCUGGCUGAGGCUUCGCUAAGCUGACAUCAUGAAAUGAAAUGAAAGGGAGGGAAAGGAAAUGAAAGGAAUGUUUACCUGAACACUCUUCCUUUGAUCCCCAGCGUCUUACAUGAAAGAAAGUGAUUGAUACUGCUAUUUGCCAACAGGACUCAGGCUGACAGAUUUGUUACAGUUCAGUCAGUCCCUCCUCCCUUUAUUCACAGCAAAGCAAAAAUUUGCUAACGGAGAUCCAUUGAUACAUAUAAUUGUUUCUGACAUCAGGUGAUCAGCAAUAGACAGCAUACAUUUUAUUAAUGAAUGACAAAUGGUAAAACUGUUCUAUACAAUCAGCUAACAUGAAUGGCACACAGAGUUAUUAAUCAACAUUGGUUUAAUUGCUGCUAUGACCUGUUAACUUUCACUGUAAGUGUGUCUAUUCUGCAGACACAGUUUAUCUAAUAGGAACACAUUCAAUCCGAUACUUUUCCCAUUAUUGCUAUAUGAACUGGCAAUAGUGACUUGCUUUGCUGCUGUUUUUCUCUGCUUUGAUAAAGAGGUGUAAUCUUAAUCCAUGUGGAGGAAACAAUGCAAAUGUUAUCUUUUGUAUCUGUGCAUAGCCAUACAAUUCAAUGCAUAGAUUUGUUGCAAUGUUGUGAUGUAAGCCAGGAAUUACAGAUGCAUUUAUAUUUGCAAACAUUUUAAUAAAUAAUCUUUUUUUUUUUGAAGUCUGUUAAUUUGUUCAAAAUGUGCGCUUUAAUAAGGGUUCUCAAAGCAAAAAAAAAAACUUUGAACUUUCAGACUUUGAUCUGACAGCCUCUAUGCUGACUGAUCUCUUGCUAAGCCACCCUCCUCCCCAUUUCAGAUUCUCUCUGACUGACUGCUUGUAAGGCUCAAUUACAAGAGUAUAUCUGGUUUGAGCUGCAAUACUUCAGGCUUCUCUACUGGUUCUGGGCUAGCACAGAACAAUGUUGAUUAUCCAAACUUCUAUUUUACUGAAACUUCCGUACCCAAACAUCCCCUUGGUGGACUUUCAUCUCUUGUGCAAUUCUUUGAAGCCCACUUCCCCAGCGUUGUCCAACGAGCCGUGUAUCUCUGGAGGGUAAAAGUCAGAUCAGAAGCACUUUUCUGCAUAGAAAGUAGUGACAUGCAGGGAUAUAUAACAAGCAGUUCCUUUAAACAGGGCACAAGGUUGUCAAGCAGGAGAGAUGAGACCCCUGAUGGGCAAAGAGCAGCUUUUUCUCAUUCCAAGUAUUGUUCUUUAGUAUAGGGUUCUUCAUUGGGAAUAUCAUUUCAACAAUUGCACUGUAGUAAAUGGACCAUAUGAAAGUCAAUUUCACACCCCAUUGUCCUAAUGAGCUUGUAAAAUAGAGGUUCCCCUGUAUUAACGGGCUGCAUAGCACGUAUACCAUGUAUCUGGGACAACCUUACCUACAGUAAAAUAUUAGUGUCUGGUUUCACAGACCCCAAUUAGCAUGAAUCUUGGACUACCUUAGUGAAGGUAACAUUAGGUAGUCAAAGAUUUCUUGUGAUUAUAUCACUGCUAAUCUUUAAUGACAUUUUUCCUGGUAUCUGAUUAAGUGAAAGGCUUCCCAACAGAUUGUUGAUUCACUGAGCCACAGCCUCAUUCCCACCAUGGGCCGUGGCCCUCGUCCUUUUUAAUGAGGUGAAAAGGAGGUCUGUUUUCAAGGGUCCACUCAUCUUCCAAUCCCCCCACAACUGCUUGCCAGCCUGAAGACAGGCCCUGGACCUGCUGCUGUCAAUCGGUUCGGUCUGAGGGGGUAAACUCGAAGAUGCCACGAGUGCGGGGCCUUGAAGCCUGAGGGAAAAAGAACUGCACCCUGGAUUGAGCGGGCGCAUUGUGCUCACCCAGUGCGAUAUUCGAGGCUGCUUUUAAAAUCAGUUAACAUUCCACAAGCAGGGCAUAUGAAGAGAGUCUGCUCUGUCGAGUUCUGUGCUCAUUACGGGGAAUCAAAAGCAAAUGCUCUGGACUGCUGUGCUGUACAUAACAUGAUGAAUUUGAUGUCCAGGAUCAUGCUUUGAAUUGAGUCAUAGGGGGGGAUUCCCAAGUGGUGCAUCCAGUAAAAAGGCAAUCCACAGGGAGUGCAGGAUGCACCCCAUAGCCUGGAGGUCACAGGUUCAAAUCCAGGCAUUGCCAAUCAUGACCAAGGGUUCCUGAGGGGCAGCACACAACUGUCCAAGAGCCAUCCAGGUAGGGAGGGCAUAUUUCAGCAGGGCAAUUCACAGUUCACCACACACCAGCAACCCCUGUGGUUGCAGCAGUGCACCAAGACAAAAAUAAUAAUUGGGCAUUCCAAAUUGGGGUGAAAACUGGGGUACAAACCACA